rnacentral:rRNA from 1 species
GGGUAACCUGGCCUGUAAGACUGGGGAUAACUCCGGGAAACCGGGGCUAAUACCGGAUGGUUGUUUGAACCGCAUGGUUCAAACAUAAAAGGUGGCUUCGGCUACCACUUACAGAUGGACCCGCGGCGCAUUAGCUAGUUGGUGAGGUAACGGCUCACCAAGGCAACGAUGCGUAGCCGACCUGAGAGGGUGAUCGGCCACACUGGGACUGAGACACGGCCCAGACUCCUACGGGAGGCAGCAGUAGGGAAUCUUCCGCAAUGGACGAAAGUCUGACGGAGCAACGCCGCGUGAGUGAUGAAGGUUUUCGGAUCGUAAAGCUCUGUUGUUAGGGAAGAACAAGUACCGUUCGAAUAGGGCGGUACCUUGACGGUACCUAACCAGAAAGCCACGGCUAACUACGUGCCAGCAGCCGCGGUAAUACGUAGGUGGCAAGCGUUGUCCGGAAUUAUUGGGCGUAAAGGGCUCGCAGGCGGUUUCUUAAGUCUGAUGUGAAAGCCCCCGGCUCAACCGGGGAGGGUCAUUGGAAACUGGGGAACUUGAGUGCAGAAGAGGAGAGUGGAAUUCCACGUGUAGCGGUGAAAUGCGUAGAGAUGUGGAGGAACACCAAUGGCGAAAGCGACUCUCUGGUCUGUAACUGACGCUGAGGAGCGAAAGCGUGGGGAGCGAACAGGAUUAUAUACCCUGGUAGUCCACGCCGUAAACCAUGAGUGCUAAAUGUUAAGGGGUUUCCCCCGCUUAGUGCUGCGGCUUUCACAUUAAGCACUCCGACCGGCGAGGGAGGCCG